UGCAUCUUGGGACUCUGAAAAAUGUCAACUAAAAUUAAGGUCACGAUGACUUACUUUCAACAUUUUAUGGCUAUAUUUAAGUAUCUUAGUUAUUUAUUGGCUUAGAAUAAUCAAACUUUGUCAGUUGAUGCAUUUUGGGUUUUCCAAGAAUGUAGACCAAAAAGUAGUCCUAAUUGGCUAAGAAUCAUCAAACUUUGUCGGUUGAUGCAACUUGGGUCUUAGGAUACUUAGGGUUAGAGGCUUCAAAUACAAGUGAUAGGUUGUACAAUUUAUCAGAAGAGCGAUUCAAGGCCCUUGGGCCUCUUGUUUUUUUUUCAAGUCAGUUCUAAAAACAAGAGUUAUCAAUUAAAUAUGCAAAAUAUUGAUGUGGAAUAGACAAGCUUUUAUUAUCCUCAACUCACAAACCUUUGUUUAGUGUUUCCUAGCAGUACUAAGUUAAUAUCUGUUUUGUUGAAGUAAGAAAAGUAAGCAUUUUAUUUUGCUGUUAUUACAGGAUUUAGUGAUCCCUAUGUAUUGAUACAGUUUUGUCCAGAGCAUAUUUUCCAUGAUGUCCCAGUGCAGAAAACCAGCAUUAAGAAGAAAACACUCAACCCAGUGUUUGAUGAAUCAUUUGAAUUUAAUGUGUCAAUAGAGCAGUGUAGGAAGAGAGGAGCAGUGCUGGUGUUUACUGUGAUGGACCAUGAUUAUGUGUUUGAGAACGACUUCGCGGGAGAGGCGUAUGUGGAUCUGUGUAACAUUCCAGGGGUGGAUGGACAAGAUGUCUCCGGGUUCGAUUCCCUCGCUAUUACUGCCUUACCCUUAAUGCAGCCUCAACACAAAGAGAAGGGAGCUCUUGAUAUUUUAGCCUCUCGAUUGUGGGAUAGAGAUGCUCAAGAGUUUGUCAAGAAAAGGUCAAAGGUGGAAGAAAAAGCUGCAUGAUUGAUAAGUAUGAGAACCCUGUGAUGGCAGCUAAAAGAGAAUUUCUAGUCUUGGAGAUUUUUAACAGGACCGAGAUGAUGCUAGAAAGCAGAGCUGAACAGAUCAUCAUUCUAGUCAGUGCCACUACUAACUUUAACAACCUUAAAUUCUGGUUACAUUGAAGUGCUUUAAUAUUAUAGAUGGAGCUGUAUACAAUCAGGAAAAAACAAGAGUUACAAAAAAAAGAAAUGACUUUUUUGCAUAGAAGUGAAAGAUAUAUACUAGCUGAAGAGAUAAAUUCUUAAACCUCAAAUUUCUUUAAAAAUUUUCAAAUUAUUUUUUGUAUGUAUAGAACUUGUUUCUUAUUUGUAUUUAAUGAUAAUUUUCAAAUGUUUUUUAAGCAUCGUACAUUUCAUGAAGACCUGCUUUGAAACUUAAAAAGUAUUUCAUAAAAGUUGUAAUGUGAAUUUAAGUAGAAACUGCACACAUGUACAUGUAUGUCAAUCAAUUUUCAUUUUCACAUACAAAGUCUGUUGAUUGCAAUGUAACUAUUUGGAUGUGUAAAGAGUGUUUAAAGAGGAUUGAUUUUUUUUUUUCAAACAUUGGAUUCAGCUUAAUGAAUUAGUUGGAUCGAUUCAAGUUGAUGUUGUCCAACCUACGAGUAAGUAGAGAAUCUCAAAAUGAGAAAUAAUGAAUUAUAUGAAUUGAAAAAAGUGCAAUAUAUUGCUGAAAUCUUUUACAAAUUUUAAUCCAGAAAUAUUUAUAUGUUGAAUGUUUUACUCGACAAUGUAAACAGUGAUACACCCAUUAAAUUCGGAGUAAAUUGACAAAAAAUAUAUUGUAUUAUUAACAUAUCAAUUUUUAAGAGUUUGUCAAACAGUAUAUUUUCAAGUAAUUUACCAUUUGAUUGGAUAAAAAAAAUUGUCUAUAUCGUAUAACCUAUGUUGUCUACAUCACAGUGACUUGUGUCAAAAAUGCACCAAUCCACUUGACAUUACAUUUAAAAUUUGCUCAAUUUGAAGGAAUUUUUGAAAGAGAUAAUUUAACUCAAAUUAUAAGGAAUGAAUUUAAUAACUAGCCAGGUUAAACUUGUUUAACCUGGGUUGGAGUAAUUUACAAUUUUUUUUAUAAACUGCUUUGCAGUUCAUGGAGGCAUAAGCAUUCCAUUUUUGUUCUAGGCACAGCUCCUUUUGUUUUAGCCAUACAUGAAAUUCGAAAUGGGUCUGAAAUGUAAAGUUUUUGCAUUAAAUGCAUUUUUGACCGAAAGAUUGCUUAGAUCCAAACAGACUAUUAUGAUUCUUGGUCAUUACUGUUUGUUUGUAUAAUGGCAAAAUCACAACACUGAGAUGUUAACCAACAAUCUACUAUAGAUUACAUGACUAGAUCAAAGGAUAUGGCAAUUACAAUGUAAAAAGCAAUGAAGUAUCUUUGCAUCUUGACUAUCAUUCCAUUUAAAGUUAUCCAUUUUUAAAGUUAUCCACACUUGAAUAAAACAUUGUUUCAAUCUGUAAAAAAUUAAAGUCUCUAGUGUGUUGUGACUGCAUUUGUAUUUAUGUAUUUUUAAAUAACCUCAAUUUAAUAAGGUAUGUGCAAUUCUUUUUUUUUAAGUCUUUUUAUAUGUUAAAUUUUUAUUUUCUCUUUAAAAUGUGUAAUAAACAUGAAAUUUU